rnacentral:rRNA from 1 species
CACGGGGGGAGCAAGCGUUGUUCGGAAUCACUGGGCGUAAAGGGCGUCUAGGCGGUCAAGUAAGUGGAAUGUGAAAGCCCCCGGCUCACCCGGGGAUCUGCAUCCCAAACUGCUUGGCUUGAGUACGGGAGAGGAUAGGGGAAUUCCUGGUGUAGCGGUGAAAUGCGCAGAUAUCAGGAGGAACACCGAUGGCGAAGGCAGCUCGCUGGGACGGUACUGACGCUGAGACGCGAAAGCGUGGGGAGCAAACAGG